CUUGUGUUUACGUGAACUCUAGUUUGCAUUUCAGAAGCCUUAUGGAAGGAUUCCUGUGGCUGACCCAGGAGUAGUAGGGAAUUUCUCCAUCAAAUAAUCUUGGUCUUGCUAACGUGCUUCCUAAAACUUGAUGGGAAAUGAAUAUUUUGAGCCACUGUUUUAGAGUAGAAGCCCAUUUAUCCAGUGGAAUCUGGUCCUGACAUUUAUCAACCAAAUCAAUGGACAAGUCUACUCUCUGCCUUCGGGAUUGGUUUGGAUCCUGACUGCUACAACAUGAAAAGUCCCUGGCACUAUGCCUGGCACCUAAUAAAUGAGAGUUUCUUCUUUAAAACGAUGCCUGCAAAUGACUUCCUCAAGC
rnacentral:lncRNA from 1 species